UGCAAUCACUACUGUAAGUCGCUCUGGAUAAGAGUGUCUGCUAAAUGACUAAAA
rfam:Salmo salar isolate Sally breed double haploid chromosome ssa12, whole genome shotgun sequence.